AGUGAACGCUGGCGGUAGGCCUAACACAUGCAAGUCGAACGGCAGCACAGUAAGAGCUUGCUCUUACGGGUGGCGAGUGGCGGACGGGUGAGGAAUACAUCGGAAUCUACUUUUUCGUGGGGGAUAACGUAGGGAAACUUACGCUAAUACCGCAUACGACCUACGGGUGAAAGCAGGGGAUCUUCGGACCUUGCGCGAUUGAAGGAGCCGAUGUCGGAUUAGCUAGUUGGCGGGGUAAAGGCCCACCAAGGCGACGAUCCGUAGCUGGUCUGAGAGGAUGAUCAGCCACACUGGAACUGAGACACGGUCCAGACUCCUACGGGAGGCAGCAGUGGGGAAUAUUGGACAAAGGGCGCAAGCCUGAUCCAGCCAUACCGCGUGGGUGAAGAAGGCCUUCGGGUUGUAAAGCCCUUUUGUUGGGAAAGAAAAGCAGCAGGUUAAUACCCCGCUGUUCUGACGGUACCCAAAGAAUAAGCACCGGCUAACUUCGUG
rnacentral:rRNA from 1 species